rnacentral:rRNA from 1 species
GACGAGCCUGACAAACGUUAUUCGGAAUCACUGGGCUUAAAGGGUGCGUAGGCGGCGCGGAGGGUGGGAUGUGAAAUCCCCCGGCUCAACCGGGGAAUUGCGUCCCAAACCGCCGUGCUCGAGGAAGAUAGAGGUGAGCGGAACAGAUGGUGAAGCGGUGAAAUGCGUUGAUAUCAUCUGGAACACCCGUGGCGAAGGCGGCUCACUGGGUCUUUUCUGACGCUGAGGCACGAAAGCUAGGGUAGCGAACGGG